rnacentral:rRNA from 1 species
UACGAAGGGGGCUAGCGUUGCUCGGAAUCACUGGGCGUAAAGGGUGCGUAGGCGGGUCUUUAAGUCAGGGGUGAAAUCCUGGAGCUCAACUCCAGAACUGCCUUUGAUACUGAGGAUCUUGAGUUCGGGAGAGGUGAGUGGAACUGCGAGUGUAGAGGUGAAAUUCGUAGAUAUUCGCAAGAACACCAGUGGCGAAGGCGGUUACCUGGUCCUGCACUGACGCUGAUGCACGAAAGCUGGGGGAGCAAACGG